UCCGGUUUGGCACCGGCAGUCCUCCCAGAGUCCCCGACUUGACUCGCUGGCAUCUGGGAGCGGGGGUUGCGCUCGUUGCGGGACUUAACCCAACAUCUCACGACACGAGCUGACGACAGCCAUGCAGCACCUUCACGGCAGCCCCGAAGGGAAGCUCCAUUUCUGGAGCUGUCCACCGCAAUUCAAGCCCAGGUAAGGUUCUUCGCGUUGCGUCGAAUUAAACCACAUGCUCCACCGCUUGUGCGGGCCCCCGUCAAUUCCUUUGAGUUUCACCCUUGCGGGCGUACUCCCCAGGUGGUUUACUUAUCGCUUUCGCUUCGCCACGCAAGCCGAAGCCCGCACAGCAAGUAAACAUCGUUUAGGGCGUGGACUAC
rnacentral:misc_RNA from 1 species